CGUUUAUUUGAUAGUACCUUACUACUUGGAUAACCGUGGUAAUUCUAGAGCUAAUACAUGCUAAAACCCCGACUUCGGGAGGGGUGUAUUUAUUAGAUAAAAAACCAAUGCCCUUCGGGGCUCUUGGUGAUUCAUGAUAACUUAACGGAUCGCAUGGCCUUGCGCCGGCGACGGUUCAUUCAAAUUUCUGCCCUAUCAACUUUCGAUGGUAAGGUAUUGGCUUACCAUGGUUUCAACGGGUAACGGGGAAUUAGGGUUCGAUUCCGGAGAGGGAGCCUGAGAAACGGCUACCACAUCCAAGGAAGGCAGCAGGCGCGCAAAUUACCCAAUCCCGACUCGGGGAGGUAGUGACAAUAAAUACUGAUACAGGGCUCUUUUGGGUCUUGUAAUCGGAAUGAGUACAAUUUAAACCCCUUAACGAGGAACAAUUGGAGGGCAAGUCUGGUGCCAGCAGCCGCGGUAAUUCCAGCUCCAAUAGCGUAUAUUAAAGUUGUUGCAGUUAAAAAGCUCGUAGUUGAACCUUGGGCCUGGCUGGCCGGUCCGCCUCACCGCGUGUACUGGUCCGGCCGGGCCUUUCCUUCUGGAGAGCCGCAUGCCCUUCACUGGGUGUGUUGGGGAACCAGGACUUUUACUUUGAAAAAAUUAGAGUGUUCAAAGCAGGCCUUUGCUCGAAUACGUUAGCAUGGAAUAAUAGAAUAGGACGUGCGGUCCUAUUUUGUUGGUUUCUAGGACCGCCGUAAUGAUUAAUAGGGAUAGUCGGGGGCAUCAGUAUUCAAUUGUCAGAGGUGAAAUUCUUGGAUUUAUUGAAGACUAACUACUGCGAAAGCAUUUGCCAAGGAUGUUUUCAUUAAUCAGUGAACGAAAGUUAGGGGAUCGAAGACGAUCAGAUACCGUCGUAGUCUUAACCGUAAACUAUGCCGACUAGGGAUCGGGCGAUGUUUCUAUCUUGACUCGCUCGGCACCUUACGAGAAAUCAAAGUUUUUGGGUCUGGGGG
rnacentral:rRNA from 1 species